GAACUUUAAUGAGAACUUUAAUGGCAAUUUCAAUGGGAACUUCAAUGGAAACUUCAGAGGAAGAGGAAGAGGGGGUUUUGUGGGACGGCCUCGUGGUGGUUUUGGCGGAGGUAAUUUCCGAGGUGGUAGGGGAGCUAGAGGACGUGGUGGUCGUGGCAAUGGAAGAGUACGUGAUGAAAAUGUAUCUGCAGAGGAUCUUGAUGCUGAGUUGGACAAGUACCACAAAGAGGCAAUGGAAACAAGUUAAAAAAGGGGAGACAAAAGUCUAUUGCAUGUCUACAUGUAUUCCUUCCGUUAGUGCACGAUAUGCUUUUGUAUUAGUAUGAUCUUUAGAUUGAUGUCAAUGGGUCUGACACCAUUGAUUAGCUUUUUUUUCUUUCUUCUUUCUAUUUGUGAGCUUUUUAGCUUUUGCAGUUGAGGUCCGAGAAACAGCAUUGUGUGUACCGUGGAACUCAGACUCUUCUAAAGUGUUUAUUCAAAACACAUAUCCAUAUACUGGUCUCUUGGUAGUGUUUAA